UUUUUUUUUUUUUUUUUUUUUUGUAUGUGAAAUUAAUUCCAAGUUUGCUGGUCCAAAGAAACAAAAGAAAUAUGUUUUCACUAUAUGCCGGGAAAAGUUUUGCAGCUCGGUAACUCGAUGAUUUAUUAGCGUCUGGUGCCAACAAACAAACAUGUCUCUUUUCCGGGAAGAAGAGGGGGAAACAAAUUAACAUUCAUGGAAGAAAUUAGGGUUUGUUUCGACGUGAACACAUUUUUCAAUCAUUUUUUUAUCUCAUAUACAUCAAAUAAUCGCUAUGGUAAUUUAUUUUAAAAUAAAAAAAUCCAGUCGAAUCAUAUGAGAUGAGUUGGUCAAGAGUCGAGACAUUUGCCUGAAAAUUAGACCUACACUACACGUUCAAAUGUGAAACACCACUUGAGUAAAAGUCCAAGCAAGGUUAAAAACCCGGGAUCAAGAUGGCACGAAUGAAUUAAAUUGUAUGUGACUAGGUAGUGGGGUGAGAAGAGGUCUCGACUAGCUCCGCGUUGAACACAGGCUUUUCUGAGAUUAUUAUUAUUAUUAGUCAUGUAAACCCAAAUAAAAAUAAAAAACCAUCUUGUCGGCCGGAAGAGAAGAGGAUUAUUAGUCAGUGGGGUAGUUAUCAGAAGGACCAUCAUACAUUUGUCUGGUUCCAGGGAAUAGAAGAGUAAAACCAACAAUUCUCACUCUUUUCCCGUUUUUGUUUUUUGUUUUUUUGUUUUUUUUUUUUGCAGCAGAGAAGUCAUCCGUCCAUAAAAGUCGUCUCAGUUAAAUGAAAUGAACCAAGCUUGAUUUGUUGACUUGAGAAAACCAAACAGCAGCCAAAAUCCCUCCAUUUUCUCGAGGUGUGUGUACUAUAUGGGCGACUACGUACGCAAGAAAGAAAGAAAGAAAUUUGUGUUGGUUUGAAGUGAGACAAAACUACAAAAAAGUUGGUUUAGCUGGCGGUGGUACGAAAGAAACGAACUACUGUCCCACGUCACAUAUGAAGUUUCGGUGGGGGCGCGUUUUUGUAUGGUACAAUGAACUUGGUGACGAUGAAUCAAAUUGCCAAUUUGCUUAUCACUUUUUUUGAGAGAGAAGAAGAGAGGAGGAAAAAAAAAAUAAUAAUAAUAAAUUGGUGGGGUGUCAAAAACAAAAAAGUCCACACUGCAAAUCUGCAUGGCCGAAAAUAACACGAAAGAAAAGGGGGGCAGCAACUAACCAUGCCAUAAGAGGGUCAUAAUGUUCAAUGCACCAGGAUGGGUCGGGACUUGGGAGGGUAAGAAAAUAGUAGCGAAAAAGGUUUAAAGUUUUGUGGGCUACUGUUUCUGUCCGUUCCUGUUUCAGACAGCCGGUCUCUACACGCGUACCUGAUCCUGAUUUUGGACCUGUCCAUGUAUGUAUGUAUGUGCCUGUGAUAUGUUUUGAUUGAGACAUUCUCUUACUUUUCUUCCCUUUGAAUUCUUCAAUUUCUUCUACGCUUUUUAUGUAGUUGGAAAAAAUUUUGUACCCUGCCCUGGCAGUUUUUCUUUUUUCCGGACAAAAUUGUACCUCUCAAAGAACAAAACUGUAAUUUUACCUCUUUGUCCUUGGUAACUCUUGGCGAUUACUAGUAUGGAUCUUUUGGGCUAAUUAAUUGUCCUCCGGAGCAUUUAUUCUGGCAACAAUGAGUACCAACUCACUGCCAAAUAAUUGAAGUUCAUAAAGAAAACACAUCCAAAUUCUGUCUUAGCUUAUUACACUAUUUGAAGAAUAUAUCUUAAUCCGCACUUUUGAUGCAUCGAUCAGCUUCAUCAUCACCAUUAGUAUUGAAACUCCUACAAUGUAUUGACCCAGUUUUCGAGUUAUCCAUUUGGUGGUGAAUUUGAUUAAUCGGCUUUGUUUGGAUAUCAAAAAUUUUCAAAUAAUAAUAUUUCGCUCUUAUCAUAAAUAUAUUUUUCAACUUAUCUUUUAUGUUUGUUAACUGUCUGUUUAUCCCACAUGUAUUGCAUCAUAAAAACUGUUACAGUAAUUAUUUCAAAUAAUACUCCGUCUAAAUAAACCCGCUACUAUUUUCUUCCUCAUCAACGCAGCAAAAUUUAAAGCUAACAUGCCAAAGUAUAGUCAGCGUUUCAAAAUCAGAAAACUAGGGAUAAAAAAAAAAAAAAAAAGGCUGUUCUACACUUGCUGCAUAUAUGGCCGGUCAGCAACAAAUGCAUUGGAGCACACAGAAGAAGAAGGUGUGGUCGGGUGGAUCAAUUUGGUCCACGCAAUUUGUGUUGAUUAAAAGAUGUGGGUCGAAUGAUUAGUGUGAAAGACUCAUAUAAUUAAUUAAAAGGACAGAGUAAUUUGCAGCUCGUGUCAGAAUGUACGUCCAGAGAAAAUGAACAAUGAUAAUAAUCGUACGUCGAGAGAGAAUGAAAGUCAUCGCUCGCGUCAAGGCCAAUCAAUCAAAACUCAAAACCCAACUUGCUUGCAGCGGUGGUCUGCAUUUCAUGCAAUUAAUACGCUAAUAAUGUGACAGUUCUUACGGGAUUCAUGAAUUGCUCCUUAAUUUGGCUGGUCACCAAGCAGGCGGAAACAGUCGGAGAAUUUGACAUCCAUAUCUUGAGAUGAGAUGUUAGCUGAACUCGUCCGCCGUCCUUGGUUUUGGAUGUCCUAUCCCUCUCUCGUUCAUGAACUUGAAUCCUCUCCAUGUUGGACUUGGACCCCAUGCAUCGUUUUCAUUGCAGAUGGUUAAUCAGUAGCGAGUCUUUCAGUCUUAAUUUCCGCCCAGGGGCCCUGAGAUUUGAGCUCUCUUUCCAUACAAAUGCAUUCAUCAUCAAAGCGUGAGAACAUGCAUGCACACAAAAUUCGUCAUCGUCAUGCUGUACAUCGUCUCUGCCAUGCAAAUUCUGGAGCGAGCGCUCUGUCAAACUUUGGAAAGUUCUGCUCAGUGCACUUAUCCCCUAAAUCAACGUGCAAUUAACUUUUUCGAAUGCGGAAAGACAGUUAAAAAUUAAUACUACAUAUAAUAAUAAUAAUGUGGUUGAAAAUGUAUAAAUCCCAAAAUGCAUAGAAUCUUGUAGGAUUCUACUUAUGAUCAUGAAAGCAUGAAACUGUAUUGAUCCUAGCUUUUGCCUUAUUUUACAAAUGUAUAUAAGAAGAAAGAAGGAAUGGUAAUCCUAUUUGCUCAAAUUUGUGCAUCGGCCACCAAGUGGUACGUUUUAAGGUGCGAUAUAUAUUUGGCAAAACGUCUAUGUACAUAUAUAUAUAUAUAUAUAUGUAUAUAUGAAAUCGGUUCAUUUAAUCAAUCGCUUUCUUUUUAUUAGCUGCCAUGUUUAGUUAAAGAGAGUUAAUGGAUUAAUAGAUAUUUGGAUUUUAACUCUUUUUUAAACUAAUUUUAAUUAUUAUGAUUUCUAUCUAACUUUUAUCUCGUUCAAUAAAAAUGAAUUACUUUGCUAGCCCACACGUGUGAUUUUUUCAUUAAAUUUAUCGACUUCGCUGAAAGCUGAAACUUCGCUCAUGAGAGAAUCAAUUGCUACACUUUUUUUUUUUUGGUGUUUAACUAAAAGCAAAUAAUAUGUAAUUAGAGGUGUAUAAUCAUUUUAAAAGUAUAAUAAUCAUCUCGAAGCAAAUUUUUCAUUUCCUUUUUUCUAUACAUUGCAGUUUAUUGAUAAAUAUUAUCAUGUUAUGAUAUUAUGAUUUUUAAAAAAAAAAAUUGCAAUGUUAGUUAAAUAUCUAGAAUACAAUUUUCAUUAUCUGACCAAAAAUUAUUUACUUGCAUUACAAACACAAUUUUCAACACACCUCUUUCUCUUUCCAAUUAUCUUUUUAUCUUAUACCACAAAAAAUACUACAGUAAUUAUUCCAAACAAUCUCCUAUCCAUACACCAUGAUAAAUAUCUCAGAAUAAACAUGUAAAAAUAUCGUUGAUAUCUCUUUCUUGAAAUGUUAUUAUCCCUUGGUUCAUAACAAAUCAAAAUAAAAGUAUCCGAAAAAACAAGUAUAAAUUAAACUGACUGUACAUGGCAAAAUAUUUUGGCAAUCUCAAAAUCUUGUUCAGGGCAUCGCGCGCAAACUCUCCACAGUUUUGGCAAAGCAGUCUGCCCCUCCAAAUCUUAUCAAUCCGAAGCCGUGACAAGCGGGGGCGCCUUCCUGCAACAAGGCUGCAAAUCUUUACCUUCACCUUAAAGAAAAGAGCAAUCGUUUUCGUAUGAGAAAAUGUGACAUGAAACGUGUUUAUGAUCCAUUGAAUUUUCGCGCUGUGGAAUAUGGUGUGUGCAUUGAAUGUAAGCUUUGCAGGGCAUGACAUUCAGCCUUACAGGUCCUUCUCAAGAAAUGGGCAGAUAUUUUUUUUCCCCCAAAAAAAAAAAAGAAAAGAAAAAAGUACUGACAAAGGAUGAUUAGGAAGGUAGGUAUGAAGAAGAAGGACGGGAAGGGCUAGGAUGGGUUCAGAUUCAGUGGAAGCUCUGCGAAAUGUUAAUAAAUCUUAUCACUUACCAGUUCCCACUUGUGUUGUAGUAAAUCUUAAAAAAUAUAACCAUGGUCCCAUUGGCAUUAUGCACAAAGAGGGCCAAUUCAAGGAAUCUAAUAAGUUGAUCGAGAUGGAUAUUCAAAAAAAGAUGAACCGCGAGUUUGGUUUAAAACACACCAACUUGGACUGUUUUGCUAAAUGGGAUCUUGAAAAUUAAUCAGUUUUUCAAAUUUGAGUUAGAGACCUUUUGCUAUACGUAAGUAGCAGUGCCUUUAUGUUCAACUGCAUGUAUAAAUUGUCCACCUGAUGACCGGUGGUGUACAGGCAAUUUUUUGCCGGCAAGGGAACCAAUUUGCUCCUCCUCCGCAUCAAAAUUGAUUGAUUGAUGACUACAAGAAUCUAGGACCAAUAUUGUUAGUAUAGGAUGCGUAGCAGCAAUGCCGGACUGCCCCCCAGCUUUCAAGUUUGACGAGUAUUUUCUAAAACGUUUUCAUGUAUUUCUGGUCAGUACGCCGUUUUAUGAUUCUUGUGAUAGAUUGCAGCAGCAGCAGCUAGCGGCAUUGAUGGCAAGAUAUGCAAUCGUAUUGGAUGUGUCGAACUGCAGCAUUGGCCUUUCUUUUUUUCUUUUCUUUUUUCAAUAAUUAAGGAGCGUAUCUUAAUCUGAUCAACACUACCGGAAAUGCCCCUAUAUUAUAUAUCAGUUUCUAUCAACUAAUUCUCUCUAUUCUUUGGGUAGGGUUACUUUUAGUUUGGUUUAAUUCGGCUGCAGGUCUUUAAAAUAGAAAACAAAAAUUAUUAAUUAUUACACGCAGCCAGCCCCAAAUGACACCUUAACUUGCUGUCACAUUCCAAAAAAAAAAAAAAAAAAAUGAAAGCUCUCGAUCAUAAAGACUCCAUGAACAAGGCAAAUAUGUGCAGCUGUCAAGUGAAGAGUGUCAGAAAUCAAAAGAGUGCAGAUUGGUGCAUGGAUUUGGAGAUGCUUAUUGCUUAACCCAAAAGCAAAAGCGAUAGGAAUUCCUGCACUUGCAGGUUUCAAUUCUAUUAAAUCCAAUCCACGUUGCGUUCAAAACCAAUUCUAUCUAUUAUAGGUGCUUGCAUGCAUCAAACCUUUUGCGUUGAUUUUUUCAGAAAAUUUUGUGUACAUCAUAAAGUGAUUGUUGAGUGAUCGCUAUCUAAUCUAAUUUAUAAUCUUCUGUGAAGAUGUGAUGGGAUCCUAACUUAACACAAAUUGAAAAAGAAAAAUAUCCGUAUGACGCUGGAUGAUUUCACGUACAGCUAAGCAACUGAACAUUAAUAAAAUUAAGGGUCCGUUUGUUUCGGGUGAAAAUGUUUUCCAGGAAAAUAUUUUCCUCAUUUCCCGUGUUUGGUUGUACAAAAGUUACUGAAACCAUUUUCCUAUGUAAAAUAUUUUCACUCAUCUUAUGGAAAACAACUUCCCUUCCAAACUUACUGAAGUUGUUUUCCGAAAUGCAUGCAUCCCGCCUGUAGUAUGUUCCAAACUUACCGAAAACAUUUUGUAGUAUGUUCUUUUUUUUUUUUUAGUGUAAACAGGAGAACUCGAACCGAAGACCUCUUUCUUACACUCCCUCCCCUGUACCACCCAACCCAACCCAACCCUCCCCUAGUAUAUUCAAAAUAAAAAAAAAAAAACCUCAUCCUGCUCAUCCUAUGCUAGUAAUUAAUUAUGUAUAAUAGGGACAUUCUUUUCUAGAGAAACUUUUAGCAGUGAGAGUGCAAGAUAUAUGUCACAAUAAGCAUUGCAUGUGAUUGAUAUUUGACACUAAAUGGCCAGCAAUUUGUUUAUUGCUUGAGGAGAUAUUUUUUAUUCAUAUAUACAUUUUUCCAAGAUUUUUUAAAGUUAAACAAUGAGAUAAAUUUUCUUAUUUUGCAUGGGAAGAAGUAUGUAGUUAUAAUGUGUAGAAAGUAAAGAUAGAGAUAAAAGUGAAAAUAUUUCAAAAGUUAAACAAACACCAUAAAAAUGAAGUAAGAAAAUAUUUUCAAUAAGCUAACCAAACACCUGAAAAUGAUGAAAGGGAAAUGAUUUUCAUGGAAAAUUACUUCCACGCAAGGAAAACAUUUUACUUCCAACCAAACAGACCCUAAGAAGAGGUUCCAAUGGCGUAUUGAAAGAAGAGAAAACUAAAUUAACGGCAGAAAAGAAAAGCUUUGCAAAAAUACUACUCUACUAUAUGUGCACAGGGAGAGAGAAUCAGCUGUGUGAGUCUUGAAGCACCUGAAAAUCCAGCUAUUCCUUAAUUAACUUGUAAUCAAUCAAUCAAUCAAAUUGCCAUUGAUACUACUACAUCUUUUUUAUUUGGUAUUUUCACAUUAGCUUAUAGUACAAAUAAAAGGAAGGAUUAGAUAAUGAGGGAGCGGAAGGGCUUUCAACGAAACGAAUGUACAGGGCAAAAGACAAUUGCUGAAGACACGGGAAUUCGUUAAAUUGGUCAAAUGGGUUUUGUUGAAUUUAGGAAUUGGAGUUGAGAGAGACCAGAUUCAAUGUAGUCUUCAUUGAUAAAGAUCAACUUGUUUAAAAAUACUCCUUCGCUUGUCCUGGCGCGGGUUGGUUGGAUAGUAUAAAUAAAGACAAUACAACAAGAAGGUUUGCUUGCUUUAUUUUAUGGUACUACUACUCCUACUAUUCUGCCCCAUUAGUUGCUUGUGGUACGGCACCCGCAAUCUAGAUCCUUUUUUGUUUUGGCUUUCCAGCCCAGCUUCACGGUUUGAACCCCGUCAGGCAAGUCAACUUGAGAAAACGAAAUUGGGCAUACAUCAAUUUCCCAGUAGCGAGGGAUUCCAGCAGUUUAGCAAAAUUAGAACUCAAAAAAACGUCUAGUGGUUGAAUUUGUGAACCAAUGAAAAAGCAAAUACCACUCACGGUACGCAUUUGUUGGUUCACAGAAGUGAGAAAGGAAGGUCCACUUGCACAAGUUUCAUUUUUCACUCUUUGGGCCUGCACCAAAUAAAUAAAACUGAAAUAGAAAGGAAAAAGGCAGUGCUAAAUUCAUAGCACCCAAAAAAACAUGAAGAAGCUUAGACGUAAGAUGCUGCUUCCUGUUCUUUAGUUCUAACCACCACUUGCAUAAGAAUGCAGAGAGGAAAAGAGAGUUUGAGAUCACCCCAGUUCAGGAGUAGUAAUCAACCAUCCAGCUUAAAUGAUUAACAAACCAUCACCAUUUAGCCCAGACAGCAAUAUGCCGAAUCUCACUCGCCUCAUCUUAAAUUAUUCAUCCUUUUAGGAGCACUUCAAUGAUAUUUAACACACUCUAAUAAUCAAUAGUUGCGGAUACGUAAUCGCAGCUUAACAAAAAGAAUGCGAUAAAAGUUGCGAGCAUUAAUCAUAGAGCCAGAUGAACCAAAAGAGAGAGAGAGCAUAAGAAACAUAUAAAUCAGUCAGAUGUAACAGGCAGUAUUAGCAUUAUAUUUACAAGAUCUCAAAAUGCAUCCUGUAGAAAUACACAGUUAACUGGUGAUUUUGUAUCUAUAAAGGUGGUAUAGAAGGAGAAGCAUAUAUAUUUUGAAUAGAUGUGGAACUACUCAGCCAAAUUAAAAAAGCCCAUAAAAAUUCUCAGUUCCAAUGUCACUUAUCCUCUUCUUCUUGCCUUCUCUCUCUCUUUUCCUCCCCUCAGGGAAACUAUACACCAAAUGUCAUGAAACAAAGAAAACAGCGAAUUCUCAUUUACUGAAAUAAACUAGGUGCACUUCCAUCAUAGCUCUUUAGUCAUAUAAACCUUCUUGCUCCCAAAUAUCCACGAGAAAAUCAACCAUUUCCUGUCAGUCAAAGAUAUUGGCCGGUCAGAUACGAGCCCUGCUAGACUGAAGUCUAAUGAAUCACCGUAAUUAUAAUAGAACCAAGAUAGUGCAAGAGACCCCCCCCCCCCCCCCCCCAAAAAAAAAAAAAAAAAUUUGCAAGAAACUUACAGAGAGAGGAAUUGGCUGAGGAAAACGCUUGUUAGUCCCCAGCAAGCUUUCGUAACUUGCAUUCCAACUGCAACAAGAGCAAUGAAUGAGGCUAAAGGAGUAGGGACAGUAUUUACGUAUGAAAACGAGAGGAUAGAAAGCUAAGAAGAACUGAAUCAAAGGAAUAAAAUCAAUUCUGACACAUUUGAAUAUCAUAUAUGUUGGAGCUUAGCAAAGCCUGAAAUUAUACUUUCUAUAAACCUAGUAAACAUGAAUUACAUUCGUCCUGAUUAUACUCUAAACAACAUAAUACAACUCAAGCUACGUCACAAGGCCACAACAUGAUUGCAGAAUUUAAAAUUCCACCACGAAACAAGAAUAAGAGUGAGUGGACACCUUAAGAUGGGUUCCUCAACUUGUUUUUGUGUCUCUGACUUUUUACUUCCAAUCCACUGAAGCCUUGCCUGGUUCCAACGAAGAUAGCCUACGCUUGGGAAAACAAGAAAAUUAGAAAGUUGCGUCAUAAAUGAUUUAGCUGAACUGAGAAGAAUGUGUCAUAAAUGAUUUAACUCAAUCAAGAUUCUUCUGCAGCAUGCUUGAAGCUACUUCCUCAUUAGGAACAAAGACGCAUAAGAGAAAUACGAAAGGAAGAAGAGGGGAAAAUGACCCGAGACCCCUUCCUUUUCAUACCGUCAUCAUGCAUUGACCAAAAAACUAUUGCUUCAUUCACAGCAGAAUAGAAACUAAAUCAUUAACACAUAAAGGACGAACUUUGCUACUGAAAGCUCAACCAACAGUACAGAGGAGAUUGUAAAGUAUACUUGCCAUGAUUGACAAAUUCUGAGUGGUUAAUACUGUUGCCAGUGCCACCUUGUUGACUGAGGCUCUGAUUUGAUAUACUGAUGGAUGACAUACUUCUCUGAGAUUGAACCAUACUGUUCUCCAGGUCACAUGUGCUGGUGCUCCAGAAAUCUUCAGAUAUGCUGGGUUUCUUAACUAGCCGACCUUGAAUUCUCAAUCCCUUUGAUGGCUCAUCCACAGCAAUGAUCGGCUGAGAUUUGGUGCAGCAACCAAAACAACCUCUGUUCUGUUACAAUUCAGGUUCAUUAACAUAUACAAUACAUGCCAGAAGCAAGAUAUUCACUUUUUGUGUCCCACAACCAGAACUUAGUUUGUUGUUUACUGUUCACUUUUGCAGUAGCAUGAGCAUUUGCCAUGAUUUGUGUUUCGGGAAAAAAAAAGAUCUGAUUCCGAAGUAAGAUCAUGAUUUCUCUAUGUUGCAGAAGGAUUAGCAAACAUUCACACAAUUACAAAACCUUUUUUUGUUUUCAAUAUUUGUGUAGUUUAUAGUUUACUGUUCACUAAUGCAGUAGCUUAAAAAUUUGCCAUGCUGUGUGGCGAAACCAAAAAAAAAAAAAGAGUAUCUGCUUCCGACGUAAGAUCAUGAUUUCUAUUAGUUGCAGCAUUCACACACACCAAAAAAAAAAUUUGUUGUCAAUAUCUUUCCUAAUCCAGGUGAUGAGCAGGAAGUUUUCAGCCAUAGGUGUACAACAAACGGAACUCAAGAUCAGUUAAUAUUAAGAAAUUGACAAUUUUGGAGAUCAAGACCACUACAAGACAUCAAUUCCUAGCACUCAAAAAUAAGACAGCUUUUGAGCAAUAGCAAUGAAGUUUACCAAACGUGUGCUAAGCACACAGACAUAUGUAUAAACAGAACACCACAUAACAGUUAAGCAGAAAACAUGAAAACAUGCAUAACCUUUUGGCCUGGCAUAAUGGAAGGAGAACAAAGAAGAAACUAGAAACAAAUUUAUCGGCUAAUUAAUGGGCUAAGAAGUCCUGAAAUUAGGAUACUUAAAAGACAGCAUAUUCCCUCCUCCCUUUUAUCCUUUCCAAUUUCUUUCAACUUCUUUGCUUCAUGAUUCCAACGAGCAGGAGAUCUGUGUUUGGCUCUCUUUUCAGAUUAGGCCUAAGCACCACAUUCAAUUUUUCUCUACAGAAAAUUCCUUAUGACUCUUGUUCACUCAGAGUUCUUUCUUCAACGCUUCUUUGCUUCGCCUCAUAGCUAAUCAGCACCUAGCACCUACUACCAGGAAAAAGAAUCCAUGGUUUUACCUGCAAGGACUGGUAUAACUUAUCCUAAACAAAAUGCCAAUUAAAAGAUUCAAGCUCCACGCACAAAAUCUUUUCUUGCUUAAUGCACUAUCAGAAGAAGAGUAUGGUUUAUAAGAUCAUUGAGGCAAUCAUGAAUUACCUGAGAAGAAUGUUACUCUUCAAACUUAGACCUACAGGUUUCAGGUCCUUACCUCCAGUAACUUGUGACUUUCCACAGUAACAUAAGCAAAGAGGAAAUGAAGAAGGAGAGAAAUGGGAGGAGACAAGAAGGUCUGCGAUGUCCAGGACCAAGUUAGAGUAAUCAACCACAUACCAGCACACUAGCAUGUUUAACAUUCAAUCCUUCUGUAUCGCAGCCACCAGAUGUGACUUCAAUACUUUCCAAGCAGAAGACAACAACAGGCUACUGCAUACUUUGGACAGGGAGGUUUCAAGGACACCAGACCAGAAAACUAUAAUCACCAGUUCGAUAUUUCUAAGAAGACACUAAAUUAACCUCCUAGCAAGGUCCAAAUAUACCUACCCUCCUAUUUAUCUUAUUUACUACAUUGGAAGAAUUUUUUCACCACAAAAUGGUAAAUGUUGUUUACUCCAACUACAUGUCCUGUAAUCAUUACUCCUAGCCAGCAGAAAGCAAUUUGCAGCACCUGUAUUUGUCAGGAUAUCGCUCCAAUCACAAUUAUAGAUAAGAAGGAUAUUGGAGUAUUGGGCUGGCUGUUUUCAAUCAAAAUGGUACUUUAGCAUUUAUAAUAAACAAAGACACUGUUUUAACAGUAUGGAAACAGAAAAUGGAGCAAUACUGCUGUUUAGAGGAAGACAUAGAAGAGCAUACCCCCAGUCAUAAUAUUUCAAGUAUUUACUAAACAUAUUCUGCAACUACAAGUAUGAAUUGUAAAGAGAAAGCACAAUCAGUAUUUAGACUUGCAUUCUCUAAUAUAAAUCUACAGUUUUAAAGGCAUUAACAUGUUUUGAAGGAAAAUAACACUCUCAUACAACCAGAAGCGCAUACAAUUGUACACACACCAUCUCAACCGUAAUAGUUGUUGUGUUAUGAUCAUUUGAAUGGUGUCUGAGUCAUCGAAAAAGAAACAAAUUCUAACAUUUAAGUGCAUAAUUCACGGUCUCAAACAUUAAGUCAAACACUGUCUCAGUGUAAUCCUUCGCUUAUGCCUAUUGCAUACAUCCAGGAAGUCAUAAUAGUAUGUAACAAAAAGCUCAGCCAAGCUUCACACACACCAUAUAGUAUAUAAACAAGUCUGGUUGAUCUUACAUCUCCUUUUUCAGCAUUUUUCACUUUCUCAACUAAUAAUAGAUCAUGUUUUUACCAGUUGAUUAGUUUCAACUCUUUCCCUUCAAAAGAAUCAUGAAUGUGCAAGUAGCAGCCUGGAAAAGUCUAGUUUCUCUAUCUUUCCAUCUUAAGUACUAAAAAGAGAGAGAGAAAAAAAAAAAAAAAAAAGCAGAAAAAUUGCAACCACAAUAACCAGACAAUACAAAGGUCCGUACACCACCGCAAAAGAGACAAAAUAGAAGAACUUUUUACCUGGCAGACAGUUUUAGAGUUUUACACAAUCCAGUUGCCACUUUUGAGACUACGACAACGGAAGAUAACGAGCAAAAGGUAAAGAAUAGAAAAAACAAAUUAAAUACGACUGUGUUGUCCAAAUUUGGUAAACAAGAACAACCCAUCCCACUCUUAAGUCUCUAGAAUCAAAACAUCUAAUUAUAACCACAAAAAGAGCCAGCCCGAGCUUUCCAGUAUAAUUCUUUAGUUCUCCAUGCUUCUAAACCAAACAAAAAAAUAGAAGCCCCUCGAAACAGAUAACAGAACUUCAACGGUCAAUACAACGGAGAGAACAGUAAUAGGAAGAGACAGGAGCCAAUGAUAAGAACCAGAAUAACUUACCCCAUGCAAGCAAGAAAGCUGCUGAUCCAAUCAGUGAAAGAAGUGUACAGCAUCAUAUACCUAAACAUGAAGCGGCAUCAAAUUAUAAAAACCCAAUCUCUAUUUCCAAACGGCCCAGAUCAACCAAACCCAACAUCAAGCUCCAAUCAUUAAUCCAGCCCUGCAAACAUAUUUGAAGAAAAGUUAAAAAGGGUCGAUAGUUUCUAUGGAAUUUUCACUGUCAAACAAGCAGAUAUUUUAGGAUGGCUACUUAUAUAUGCAUAAUACUCCAUAAAUACCUGCAACAGCACUAGGAAAUACUACUACUACUCCCAUUACCAUAUGCGGCCAGUUGAUCAGCAAACUGCUGGCUACAAUCACACCUAAAUCCUAAUUUGUGAAAUUGGGCGGGGGCGGAUUGUGAAGCGGUGAAUUUGGGAGCGGGACUGUUUGUUUGCUGGGGUGAACCAACCGAAAGUCGAAAGUGAGCGGUGGUUAAGUUAAGUGGGUAAUUUACGAGAGGGUUAAGUGGGGCCCGCUCGUUGUUAAACCUUUUCUACUUACUAACUUUCACUAAAUCCAGCUAGGAUUAUAGUGGUUAAUUUCAGCGACACGCGCUUCUUCCUUUCCCACGUGCGAUUCCCCUCUUUUCCUUUUUCUUUUUCUUUUUUUGAGGACCCCAAAAAAAAAAAAGAAAAAUAUCUUCCUUAGUAAUUGACCUUCUAUUGCACGAACAGCUGCUGGCCAUUAAAAUUAUUGAGUUGGACUUGAAAAUAAAUUCCUUCAAUCUCGAAAUAAGCAUCUGAUAUCAUAGAGUGAAAUUGUUUUUUUUUUUUUUUUCAGAGUGAGUUUAACAGAACAGCUCAAUUCAAGGACUGAUAAUGCAAAUUUUCAAGCCAUACACAGUAGUACUUUCCACGAUCUUAGGAUGCCAUCUCAUCUGAGCGAAAUAUAUAUAUAUAUUGGUUGUUGAGGGCCUUCGGGCCCUAUUCCUGUCUUUCCUUAUCCUGCAGUACCAUUCAGCUUUUCCCAUUUGGGGCAAAAAAGUGUCGGUUGAUACUCACUCGAGAAACUAGAAGGAUAGCUACAACAGUAUAUAUAUUGUCUCUUGACAACUCGCUAAUUUGGUACACAAAUCUGCUGCAUGAUUUUGUCAAUCUUAAUGACAUCUGGCUUUGCACUAAAGCUUCCGCUAACAGUAAUUUGUGUGCGAAAUGAUUGCUAGAUGAAUAUGAUGGGCUAAAGUUAGGUCCCUGAAUCCAUGGCCAAUCAUUCAACGAACCGGUUCAAAUCAAUUAUUAGAGCCGGGCCGGCUAUUGAAAACUAUUGACUAACCUUUUCAAGAACAAAAAAAGCCCUUUGUCCAUUCUGCUCGUUUAAUUCUUUCAGCCAUGGAUACAACGUAGUUGAGUUUCGGGAAGACAAAACACAGAUGACAUAAUUUUGAUGGGCUAAUAACAUUAUCUAUCACCAAAACAGUUUAGCAAGCUGCGCUGCAAGAGCAACAAAAUUCGAACAUAUACUCCCAUGCGUUGGAAAGUUUGAAAUUCUCCAGCCAAAUCUUCUACUGCUUAGUGGCACGAUUUAGCAAAAUUGAAGCCAGACCAACUCUCCACCAAGGUGUCACAGAGGGCUCAGUCUUCUUGGAUAUAAGAGAAGGCAGACCUGUGUGAACGCUGCUACCAAGUGUACCCUCCGGCUUGCUACUUGUCACAGAAGAACUAGUGAAGAUACGCACAAAAAGAAAGAAUCAAACGGCUGGUCACGAACUGUAUCACCAGAACGUGUAAUAUGCGUAGUGCUAGAGGUGGUUGCUAAAUACAAAUCACAAGAGCAGGCAUACAAUAACUAGUUUUCUCUUAAAAAGGAACACUCAAAAUUGUUAAAAUUUUCCCAGCUUCAAUAGAGCGUGAUGGCUAAGUGACGCAAGUUCACUUGUGCGUUUUGACUAAGGAUCCGAAACACAAUCCUGCUAGAUAUGCAUUCCAUAACUGACGAUGCUGCUGUUGUUUUGACGUUUUCAGAAACGUCAUGAUGUAAAAGUUCAAUUGCAUAGCACAACUUGGUCCUUAAUUUAGAUAACAAAAUAAGGUGCCCACAUUAUCAUGCUUUCUUGCUUUAAGAAAGUCAGAGAAGCCUUGUGGUCUAACCAAGUUGUACUACUUCUCUGAUUUGUAAAAUGAUCAUAAUCUAUAGUUCAGUUAAUCCAGUAUAGCAGCAACAUUGUAAAUUAACCAGAAUAAAAGACAAAUUUACAUGACUCACCUCCAAGUGAAUAAACCCGAACACAGCAACUUAAAAUCCCAUCUCUAUCACAAACUUAUGCUCGAGUCUCCAUUGCAAAUUUGUUGUGCCUUACAUUAGUAAUUUAUAUAGGGUUUCUGAUAUGUAAGCAGGUGGUCUGUUUAUUUUACAAGAACUCAGUCGUCAUCCCUCAGGUAGUCUGCCUACUCUAAUGCUUGGCAGAAAAUAAGCAUGCAUAAAAUAACUAAGCAUGAAAAAACUGAAAUUAUACGCAAGAAAAAAAAGAGCUCAUUUGAGAGUGCAUACAUCAGGGGUCUUGGAGCUUCAUAUGCAAAUGUGGAAAUGCCCUGUCGUUGCUUGUGCUUGGGAUUAACUGAGCACAGCACAUACACUCGACCACGUCGUUUAACAGUUCGACAGAACUCACACAUUUUCUUAACUGAUGACCUAACCUUCAUAUCUGCGGACAACAUAUCAGUCAGGGAAAAUCAUGAGCUUACAGAAUCUACAGACAAGUACAACAAAGUUUCUUAUAGAUAAAAUGCUACCACUGGCGAACCAUGCAACCAAAAAACUUCAUAAGAGCAGUUUGAUACCUAGCUAACAGCAUACAACCAUUCAACAUAGCAAAACGCUGAAAGGAGAAAUGACAAUAUUACAGAUGCAUAAUCAACUGAUCAAUAAGGCAGUUGCAGCACAGAUUACGUUAUUAAUCAUAUUUAUCUUCACUUCAUUCACAUUCCAGACAUAAGAAUAUAAAGUGCCCUCAAACCCAAGAAACCAUCUACGGCUGCUAUAAUGGACCCUAUAUGACCUCCAACAUAGGAACAAAACUUUGAUUUAAUUUCAUAUACAUAGUCAGCAAUUCUUUAGGAAAUUUCAAGUUUCAUAAUCUGUUCUUUGAGAAACUAGAGUUCUUUAGCUUCUCAGUCGUCUAUCACAUCUCAAAAUAACCAUUUCGGUCAGCAAUAAUCCCUCAGCCUGAAAUCCAAUUGAACAUUUAUUGGAGACUGGUUUCUUUAGUUAAAGCGCACAAGUCUGGACAUGUUGUCAAGCUUCUCUCCUGCUACUUCAAGCAAUCUAGCCUCAAGUACAAUCCAGUAAAUAAAGCAGAUAAGUUGAAGAACAAAGAUCCUCAUAUGUCAUACGUACUAGAGAAACAACGUGUGACAAGUAAAAUGAGAAUGCGCGAUUUUUUUUUUAACCAUCAAUGGAAUUCGUAUAUUUUUAAACUUUCCACUUUAAACUAAAAACUAAUAAUCCUGCAUCAAAACACAUGGUCUACCUCACAGCAGAACUAGACAUGCAAGGACCUUUAUACAUGACGCAUAAAUCUGAACUGAGCCAUGAGGCUAUUUAGUAUCAACAUUUCAUAAUCCCACAAGAUCAUCUAUUAAGUACCUUAGCCAUGAGGCUAAAUCCCAAAGAAAACUGGAGCUGAAAACAUUUUCAGGAUUGCCCAAUAUUAAAAGGAAAUGAUGCAAAAUACCCAGAGAAGAAGGAAAAAUGCCCGUUACUUUCUUUUUUUUUAUUAUUGUUUUUCAGCAACAACAUAUUGCCAUAGCUGAAUCUAUAGUUUUUACCAGUCUUUCCAAAGCUAUUAAAACAGAAGGGUUGCAUUGAAAACCAACUUGAAUCUUGAAGGGGGGAAAAAAGAAAAAGAAAAUUCAUUUCCUAAGAGCAGCCAAAGUUUACUACUUAACUUUCUCGUAAACCAAAACCCUUCAACUGGAAAGAAGCAAUUAACAACCUUGGUAUGUGUAUGGAUAAGAAAUCAAAAAUUCAAAAACCGACUAGACGACGAUUUGGGAGAGUGAAUAAACUCGUAAAAAACACUAAAUUAAAUCCAGGGUUUUCGAAGUUAAUAAAAGAUUGUGCAGAAAAAUUGAUCAAAUAAGAAGUUACCAGAAUGAUAAAAGGGAUGUUUAUUGCAAUUUUUUGCUUCGACGAUUGCAGAAACUGAAGAUGGAGGGCGAGGCUGCGGCACCGCCGAGCUAAAAAAUAAUAAAAUAUUAGUGGUAAAAUUUACGCUGGUUUCAACGUUGGCCCAUAGAGAGCGGGCUUAAGAAGUGGCUUCUAAACCCAAUUUGGAAAUGCAAAUGAUUUUAUCUGUUUGUUGAGUUGGGCUGGAGCCCAAUGUUGUAAAAUUUUCGUAAGUUUUCCAUGUGGGAGUUAAGCACAAAAUUAAAAGAUGAGAUUGGGGGCCAUCAUAUUUUGGAAAUUUUUAAGAUUCAUUUAGGAUAUCAUUCAUUCAUUUUGGAAAUAGUUUAUAUUUUAAAAUAUUGAAAUUGUCAUCAUCUAUGAGUCAAAACAUUUAUUUCAACAUUUAAAUAUAAAUUUAAUUUAGAUUAUGAUACUCAAAAAAUUUAUUACUAGAACCGGGAAAUUUAUAGAAGACAAAAUAUUGCCAAAUUAACAUUUGAGAUAUCACAAUAAUUACAGCGAAGCAUCGCUUGGGAUUUCAGAACAAUUACAGUAAAGAAUAAAAAUCCCAAGCAAGAUUGAGAUAUUUAAAUUCGCACUAAAAUAUAAAAGAGUAAAUCUCAUGUAUACUGACAGUGUGUACACAGACUAUCACGGUGAAAGUAUUCAACGGUAUCAUACAUUCAAUGGUGAAAGUGUAUAGGCUAUUAAUAUAUAAGAAGAUUAAUCAAAAAUAAAAACCAUUAAAACUUGGGUUAACGUGUUCCAGAAGACGGAGUUAGCAUUUGGGCCAAUAGGUGGCCGUUAACAUAUAUAUGUAUUUUCCAGGAACCAUCUUAAAGUUGCCGUGGCAUGGGAAGUUGGGAACAUGACAAAAGAUGGAAAGCUCAAAAAACCCAACCCAAUAAUCUCUUUAUUUCCCCAAGAUAAUCUCUUUGCUUCAGACAACGGAACGGGCAUCAAGUCAUCAACUAAUUAAAUCACCACCUGGACUUGUUGGCGAACCAGAAACAUUCUGGGCGUUAGUUUCCCAUUUAAACACGACUGAUUGCACAAUUAAGGCAGUAGAUUACACAAGCAAGGAUACGAUUUGAUUAAAUAAAUCCCACCUGCUGCCGUCAUUAAGUUACAAUAAUUUUUGGCGGACGCUCAAUUAUUGGUUAAGAAGGGUUGAUCCUGAUCUUGAUCUAGCCUAUGGCAGGCCAUCUCCUCAGCCAGCAGCCCUUACUCCUCAGGGCCAAAUGAUUCGACCAACCCUUUUAAGCAGGACCACGUUGCUCUGCACCACAUCUUCCGCUCCCGCAUUAAUUAAAGUUGUUAUUAAAUUAAUGUAAUGGCCAUGUUAUACAAAGAUCUUUAUGUCGAAUGUGUCGAGGCUUCCAUUUAUCUAACUUUGUUUUGGGGGGAGGGGAGUUUUCAAUUAUCUCGACAGUUGAAAAAGAACGUGUCGAGGCUUCUUUGCCUCUCCUUCUUAAUAAUGGUUACUACUAGCGUAAAAUGGGAUUAGCCCCUCUACAGCCAUGAUGAUGAUCAAUUACACGACGAAAGAAAUUUAAGGUGUGUCACGGUUUGAUUAGUUAACCUUGACUACGAAAGGUCCUUUGGGUUUCGUCAUGGGAAGAAAGGAAUAAGAAACUUUUAUUGGAUGGAUUGGCGUCAUUUCUAGAAGCUCUUUCCUCAAGUUAGUCAAGGGUGUUGGGCCAACGCUAUGCUUGUUGACAAUUAAAUGAGGUUACCACAAAGUUGAUGGGGUCAGAUGGAAGGACCCGGAAGCAUCUAGCAUUGAAUAAGAUUUGCACACGCAAUGCCCUGCUGUUUCACAUCUGCGGUAAUAAUACCUGUUCAAAUUCCACGUCUAGUCAUAGGAUUGUUAAAUGGCUCGGGUCAGCUCGAGUUCGACCCCAAAAAAACCUCUGAUUUUGGGUAUAAACAUUAUAUUCGAAUUAAAUAUGAGCUGAAUUUGGAACUUAUUAGGCUCAAAUUUGAUAUAAAUCCGGUCAUUUAAUCUGCAUCUAUAUAUAUAAUUAUAUGUAUAAUAUCACUAAUAUUUUAUAGUUAUGAGUUAUGUGUCAAAAUAUAUAUUUAUAUAUAUAUAUAAGAAAUAUUAAAUAUACAAAAUUAUGUCAAACGAUUUUGAAGGAAAAAUCUUAGUACGAGUAUAUUGAGAACCUUUAAUGAUGUAUUGACUGUUAAUCAUGUUUUAUUACUAUUUUUAUGUACUUUGAAUUAAUUGGAUACAUUAUUGUUGAAAAUUUAUUAGUUUAUAUACUUUUUAAUGAACUAUUACUGGUUUGUUUAUAAUUUUAAUGUUGUGGUCCUGUGAAUGUUAUAUUAGGUUUAGAUUUUAACAGUUAUAAUAAUUUUAUUAAAGAAAUUAAAAAGCAAUACACGAGACUGAGCUAAGCCCGAAUUAGAUUCACGCUCGAAUAUUUUGUGAGUCAAAUAUAAAUUUUACGUUAUCAACCUCAAACUCGUAAUUCAAAACUUAAAAGCGAUAGUCAUUACAUGAGCCAAACCUAAACUUGUUAAAAGCCGAUUCAGAUGGUCCCAUUGACAGCCUACACAUAGUUAUCACUUUUUUUCUGUCUACAUAUGGUAUUACCAUUCAAGACCACGACAACAUUUGUGAUUAAAAAAAUUUUUGCUUGUGGGUAAAACUUAGUCAUAACUUUACUCAAUAGACAAGUUUUCUUUUUAAUUUUAAGAUCAUGUUUAACAGGUGUUAUAAUAAAUUAGCUGUUUAUAUACUACUAGGACUUACGCAUAAAGUACUUGCCCCGGAAGAUACCAACAAGCAACGACAUGCAGGCAGGAACUUUCUAGGAAAUUUGAAAUUUCGAGGUUGGACUUCAAUUCGGACUUUGGCGAGAGGACCAGUGGUAAUUUCAUUCAUACGACGUCAUGAAUAAACUAAGCAGUAUACUAGCUAAUGCCAAGAUUAUCAUGCAUUGACCUAACUAAUUAAUGGGUUUAGCUAUGCUAAAUCAUAGUUUGGCAUCUCCAAAUUAUCUUCUUUUCGAAAGAGAACACUCGGGCCAGUGUGUUAUGCUCCAGGUGUGUGGAAAGGAUCAUUGAACCAUGGAUUCAUGACGACUAGUUAAGCUUGGAAGACAUGAUUGAUUUGUUUGAACUUCCUGCCUUGCAAGUACCCUUUCCUUUCUGUGUUUCUUUUCCUACCAGGUCAGGGGUUCAAAAUUCAAACACAAAAGGAGCAGAAGAGAGUAGAAAAAAGGCGGUAGAAAGAAAAUUAGUUUUUCUUUUUGUGCUAAGAGAUGUGUGUUUAAUUGGUACUGGUAUUAACGUGGCAAGUUUCAUAUGUAUGGUGCAUGCAAGAUUUUUCUCAUUAUAAUUUAACCAUUUUGCAGUUCAUCUUAUUUCCUUCUACUUAAUCCCUUUUUUAAUCACUUCUUUUUUUUUCUUUCUUGAAAAUUAGCUAGCAAAUUUAGGCAGUAGUGUAAUAGGAAUCUAUCACCCCCAGUGGGUAGCUCGGCUGGCUCCGAUCGUCCGUCUUUACAGCAAGGCCACAGGUUCGACACCCACUUGCUACUGUUGUUGGACAUCUUUGGGGCAAGCUCUAUCCAGCCUGGGGGAUUAGUCCAGGUGAUUUCGGAAUACCUCUCUAGACUGUAAAAAAAAAAAUAUAUAUAUAUAUAUAAUAAUAAUAAUAAUAAUAGGAAUCUAUCGACCACGCCUACCCUUAAACUUCACGUGGCUUGUCCACACCUGCAAAGGGAUGAAGCAGUGUCUCCUCACAUCCUGUUUCCAGUGCUCUUUUCUUAUAGUAUAUGUUUAUAAAGAUUACGUAAAAAAUUUUGAGAUCUUUUUUUUUUUUUUAAAAAAAAAAAAUACUAUUUGUUAGGAUGAUUUAGUAGCACAUAACAAAUUUCAGAUGACGAUGAUAAUGGAGUCCAACAAUUAUGGACAACCUGCAGAACUUUGGCCAGGUAAAGACAAUAAAAUUCUAGUAUUUUUAUUCAUGUUACAUCACCAAAAGGCCACAGCAGAUUAGGCAAACGCCAAUCUUCCAUAGGCAAUCUGCAGAUUCUCUGCUGGUCCGUGCCAUACACAAAGUGUUAAAAUUCAUUUCAUGCAACCCACUCCUACUCCAUCAGACCCUUUUCAGUUGCCCAUGCUUUGCUCUUUCUAUAUAGCUUUCUAUAUUUGGCCUCUUUUGACGCGUAUGCCUGGCCAAUCAGAGGCUGAAAUUUAUUUAGACUAAGAACAGCUUUAUAUGCUGCCCCCCAAAGACGCCAAGCAGAACACAGAUUCUAUGAACCAAAGAAAAGAUAACGAAAGAAAGGAGUUGGAAAAAAAAAAAACAACAACAAAGAUCAAUAUUUUUUUUUUUUUGGAGGGCUUGAUGCCACACUAUCAAUGGUCAAGAAUGAAGAAUUAAUCCAAUGGUGCAGACGGCCCUCUUCUGACUACUUUAUACAAUAAUAUUAAAAUACUAGUGCAAGUUAUAGAUGUAUAGGUGUCGGGUUGUACAAUACACAUACAUAUGAACAUGUGAUGUGAUGAGGUCUUUCUGUCUAAGGACUACAUCAAUAGAGAACUGAAUAAACACAGGACUACAUCAAUACAUGAGCCAUACAAAUGUUUAGUGAUACAGAAGGAAAUGAUGAACACGCAUUCACACAUAUAGAUGUGUGAAUUCGUGGAUUAAUUGAAUCUUUUCUUAUAAGCAAAAUGCAUGGAUUUGAGAGAAUUCUGGCUUAUACUAGUAUUUUUUUUUUGCUGGUACAGGCGUGAUUCAAACUCAAUCUUCAAGGUCUUCAACUCAAUAUCGAGACGAGAAAAAAAAAAAAAAAAAAAGAAAAGAGGCAAAUCCAAAUUGUGCAAAUUAACAAGGCAAAUGUUCUGGCAAAAGGAGAUACAAAAUUGGAAAUCUAAAUUCAAUUUAAGCCAGUACUAGAGGAAUCAUGCAUGUAUGUACAAGUACAACAGGAGGCUCCCAUUCAAGAUUUUGACAUCCUACCAUUAGGAGGGAGACUAAACUCUCACGCAACAUGCAAUCUGUAACAUAGACCGCCAUGUGCCAUCAUUUUCUCUUUCGUUUCCAUACUUCUUGGCAACAAUCAGCAUUUUUUUUUUUUUUUGCCAAAUAUAUUAGUAGUAAUUUACAACUAGAAAGGGACAUACCCAAAUAAAAAUUGCAAGAAAAUAAAACUAUGUACAGAUUAAAGGUAUAAUUACUAGAGGCAAUUAGAGCUAGUUCAAUAGGAAUACGUGGUGCGGAGAAGAACACGGUCCCUGAGAAUCCCAUUGUAUAAAGCUACCCUGUUUGCUGGCAUUCCCUGCACUUUCCCACCUUUGAAUGUUGCGGAAGAAGAAGAAGAAGGCGAUGAGGAUAAUGAUUCUGCAGCUCUGUUGUGGGAACUUGAACUGUAAUUGUGCUGCAACUGCAACUUCUUCCUGUACUCAUCGCUGUUGCCAAUUGGGUCCACCACGUCCGCAGCAAAAUGCACCCUUUUCUUCUUUUUAUUUUUCUUCUUCCCAUCUGCACCCCACAACGACAUUAUAUUCCGAAUCUUGGGUAAAUAUACCAUGACAAACAAGAUAAGACCAGACGGAGGGGGAAGUCCAUAAAUAUUUUGCAUGAGAAAAUAUAGUAGACUUUUUCUUCUUUCUUGCAAAACAUGAUUGAUUCGUGUAGAAAAUUAUGCUGAUUACCGAUCAUUGACUUUAGAGAGGAGAAAAGGGUAUGUAUUAAAAUUGUGAAAUUAUGCAGGAACGAUCACGUUACCUGAAGAAGAAGCAGAGGAGAUGCAAGAUCGUGGGAGGGGUUGAGGGGACUGGCAGGGAGGAUGAAGGCAGUUGACCGUGAUUGACAACUGGGAAGGUGGGAAAGAUUUUUGGAGACGAAAAGCGAGGAGAAUAACAGUGCCGGAGACUGCAGCCAUGGCGGUGGCCAAGACCAUGCCUUGAGAACUCAAGAUUGAUGACAUCACUGAUGAGAGAAUAAAUUAAGAGAUCAAGUUUGAGCAGGAGGAGGAGGAGGAGGAAGCAGAUGGUGGUUGAGUUGGGUGAUCGGUGACUUUUUCUUUUCUUUUCAGUUUUCUCUCUUUUAUAGAGGAGAAAACAAACAGUUGGCAUUGGAAUGGAACUUUUGAUGGGUACAUUUAGCUGAGCCUGCGCUUUAAAGUCUAUAAGAAGACAAAAUAUUGUUUGGUACGGCCAAUUUGAAGAUGUCAUAAAGUUAGAGGCUAGUUGCUGUUUAUUAGUAUAUGCUAUAAUAAUAUAUAGUUGAAGUGAGAAAAGAAACAGGGGGCCUCAGGUCUGAGUGCAUUUGAGACAGAGAGCGGAUGGGAUUAUUUUGUACACCAGUUUGUUACAUAAACAAGCACUAAAUGGAAAAGAAAGGGGGAGACAAUCAAUAAUUGGCUUGAAGAGCAGUGAAAGACGUGAAUAAGCGAGCAUAUGGAUUACGGAAAGAAACGCUGAUUUUGGAAUUAGAUAAAGGGAUGAGGAUUGGCUAGUGUGCGUCUUAGCGUCUGCUGGCUCUUCCUGCUGGUGCACCGCACGGCAAUGGAAUUACUACAUAUUCAUUUCGGUUGCUUCUUCCGCAGGGACAGUGCUCUGUGUUUAACUUACUGUGUACAUGAGAGGUGAGAGUGGUCGGUUAGCACUUAGCGCCUGUGGAUCACGCUCCUCCAGCCGUGGCUGUGGUGGUUCUAGUCAUAAAUCAUGUAAACAUAAGUUAGCAAAAGUCUAUAAUUAAAUGGUUUUGACUAUAUAUGAUUUCUUCUAAAUUCAUAUGGGUAUAUUUUUUUCUAAAUUCAUUCGGGGGUGCGUAGCGUACCCAUCUAAUCUGAUGGUGAUUCAAUUUGUCCAGUUUCUUUACAUGUUAAGUUGUUAGGGCAGCACUUUGAUCAUUGGAUAACAAAUGUUCAACCCAACACGAUUUCUUAGAAUUUUUAGGCAAAACUUUUGAGGGACAAGUACAUUAGUAAUAAAGGAUAGAUGGGCUUGGCUUCUUUUCAGUAGAUUUUCUAUCUAUAUUUUUUGCAGUGCAUAUCACGUGUUUUUAUUUAUUAACAAAAGCUACGACUAGUUAAAUUUAAAAUAAUCGUUUCCUUUUCUAAUACAUGUAAUGCAUUCGGACGUGCAUUUUAGAAAAUGAGGAAACAAUUCACCGAAGAGGAGCCAAAUCUCGUAUGGGACGCCAAUGGAACAUUAAUUGUGAGAUUUAGUGAAUCUCUUUUUAAGUGUAUAAAAAUCUAACGAGAAAUAUCAGUUUCUCCGACCUAAUUAAUUCGAAAGAAUGUUAUGCUGCGUUUAGAAAUGCGAUGCUAUUUUGCUUCAUUAAAAAAAUAUAAUAAUAAUAAUAAUGUAAUGAUACUACCAUUUUGCAUGAAGAGACUACAUGAAGCACGUACGACAAAUGCAUCAUAAUCUUAUAAUCUCUCUCUCCCUCUCUCUUUUAUUUCUAUCUGAAUUUUUUCCCCCCAUUUUCUUGCCUUCUCUUUCCCUGAAUUAUGUAUAGGUCGAGCAGGCAUGUCUUAUUCCUUGGCCUUUUUUCUCCUCUUUUUCUCUUUUACGAGGAAGGAUAUAACCCCAAUAUCAGCCAAAAGAUAAUUCGAAAUACAUGACUUGCUUGAUGUUCUUCUCCAGCUCGAACAAGGCAGGGAAUCGAAGUUCCGUGGCGUAAAACUACAGAUACGUAGAUGCUGCAGACACAAAGACCAUCACGACAGAAUCGUCUCGCUCCAUCAUUUGACCAGCCAACUUAAUCAUUAAAGUUGUUUUGGUAUGGGCACUUGAAAAUAACUCGUUUUCUUUCCUUUAACUAAGGCUACGUGAAUAUGAUAAACUUUGCCAAUUAAAGGGGUGAACGCAUACGGCGACGAGAUUCGGAUUUGCGGAAUCCGAUGAACGAUGGAAAUUAUCCACGGGGAUGGAGUAUGGACCAUCAAAAGUUUGGACUCUUUGACGGGCAUAUGAACUUAAGAAGGGUGUUUAUAAAGAACUGGGAUCCUCUCGUGCCAAAUUCAGUGUCAAUCACACUUAUCAUAUGAUGGUAGAAUAAAUUUAAAUAACUAGCACAUGACAAAUUAAAUAAGCAGGACACUUGACAUAAAUAUAGAAGUGGUACUAAAUUGUCACUGGAAAAGUGACACUAACCGUUCAUGGCAUAACACUAUUGGUGACAUUGGAUUGGCAUAAAAAAUAUGUCGCCGAGAAUCCCAAGUGCUGUACUAAAAUCUAAUAUUGCUAUCAUUUAUCAAGGGAUAAUUUCAGAUACCUCCCCUCAGGAUUGUGAUGAUAUCAUUUAGCACCCCUGAACUUUGAAUAAAUCACUUCUAACCCAAUUUUUAGGUUUUCAUAACAUUUUCAAUCCAUUUCAGAAUAAAUUAUUAAAAAAAAACUCAUUUGUGGAUAGAGAAUAUGCUUUCAUUUUAACGUUUUGCUUUUCCUGUGAACCAUUUUAUUUUCAUAACAAAUCUGGUUAAUCACUUAACUUUUGAAAAUUUGGCCGAUAUGAUUUUCUAAUUAAAAAUUGCAACAUGUUAAUAAGAUUGAAAGACCCAUUACUAAUUGUUGAAUCAUUAGUCUACACAAUAAAUAUAACAAAAUUUUGAAAUUCUAAAAAAAAUCAUAAAAAUUACUACUCCAAAAUUUUACAAUAAAGAAAAUAAUAUUUUGCACCUUGAAAACCUCUCAAAUAAGUUUCUAAAUAUAUGGUUAAGAAAUUUAUCUUUUCCAAAUUUUUAUGCCAUUUAUUCGGACAAUAGUUUAGAAAAUUCAAAAAACUUGCACACAAUUCAUAAAUCUUUAAAAUCAUACACAAACAGUUUUGAAUUAAAAAAAUAAUUUUUGGUCUUUGAAAGAACCUCAAAUGAUUUGUAAACAUAAACAUUUUGGCUUGAAAAUAAAUAAUCUCUUUUGGCUUGAAAAUACUUCGAAUAUAUUCUUCAAACCAAUCUUUUUUAACUUUAAUCUACUUACUUAUAUAUUGUUUCAGUCAAAUUUAACAUUCAAACUGGUUGUCUCUAUUUUCAACCUAUUAUUACAUGUUUUCAAUUUUGAAAAACAAAAGGUAGAACAACAAAAGAAUACAUUUGGAAUAAAAACAUCUUCCAAGACUUGAUUUUCAAUUUGAUUCCUAAACUCUAAACUGAGAUAUUUUAGUAGUCCUUGUUACUUUUUUUUUUUUUGUCACCAUAAUAAAAUUCAUAUAACCUAAUAUACCGUAAUCUAGAGGGGUGGAAGAGAGGGACUCGAUAUAAAUAAAGAUUCUGUAAAAAAAGAUUGAUUACAGCCGUCAAAUGAAAUGACAAAUUGAUGGAACGCAAGGUUGAACCUGAUCUCACACGCUAGCUAUCAAGACUUGAGUCUUUUGACGGUGACCGUCGUGCCAAAGCCUAGUGGCUUAGUAGUCCUUGUUACUGGGAAGCGUCGGUUUGACACAUUGUAAGUUCCCAGACGAGAUGUAACAUCGGACGCUGACUUUAAGGUUCAUCGCAUUCAAGAUGAAAAUGAGUCAUAUGCUCUACAGUUGUCAGUCAUAUCAUAUGCUUCUCUGUCUUUGUUGGGCAGGCUCCUUUCCAUUACCCGUUCUUCUCUCCAGUUACCCUCGAUGCAUUAUUAGAUGAGCGAUACAUGGGAUCGAGUGAUUAUCAAUAAUCAUGUUUGCUCAACCUUAGUUGGUAAUCAAGUUUGGCAUCAUUCAGUUUAUCAUAUGUUUAUUGCUGAAACUUCCAUCUUAUCCAUUCAAUGUUCCGGCACCUAUGACUUACCACCAAAAUUUAGAAGAUUAAACCACUUCAAACAAGCAAAAUAAAAGGAUAAAGUGACAAGCCCUUUUUUUUUUUUUUUUUUUUUUAAAAAAAAAAACUCCGGAUCUCUCUCGUUCUUGCUUUUAAUUCCAACAAUCCUACAAAGAAAAAUUAUUUGUUAUUUUGAUAGAUUUUUUACUAACCCACCAUAUUAAAAAGAAAAUUAGAAUAGAGCCAACUUCACUUGAUAAAAGAAAAUGUAAAGCGAAGAAGUCGUUUUGUAUUAGCUUGAGUAAAUUAUUUAAAUGUACCAAUUUUGAGUGUUGUAUGCAGAACUAGUCAAUCUUGAAAGAAAAGGAAAUAAAAUAAGCAUAAAUUGUACCCACAAAAAAUAUUAGAGGCUAAAGGAAUUAGAGGUCCUGAGUUUAAAUCCCUAUUCCCGCUCUGUUUCUUAAAUCCCACCCAUCUUCUUUUUUUUAAAAAAAAAAUUAAAGAAAAACCUUUUAGAGAUAUGAAAAUGCAUAAAUCGGGUGUUAUUUCAGUAUUUUGUACUCAAAGGAAUAAACUUUGAUAUUGUUUAACAAACAUGGUAUAGCAAUGACAAGGGAACCUUUUUUUUUAAUUUAAAAGCAAAAUUAGAACAAUGCGUCAAAGCACAUAGUUAGGGAUGUAAAUACGUCUAAUCAAACUAAAUACCUAUUGUUAAACCUUGUUUAAUUAUUUUAAGGAAUCUGAAAUUGUAUUCAAAUUUGACUUGAUUAUUUUUGAGUCCGGACUGGGCUCAAACGAGCUUCUAUCGAAGCGGAUUGUGAAUAGCUUAAACUUUUAAUCUAUAAGUAAUUUUAAUUUUAUACUAAUGGACUUAAAGUAGAUUGAACAUAAAUUGUUGUUUAGAGCUGACUUGACUAGUUAAUCAACCAAGUUUGAAGAGCUCGCCUUAACUUGGACAUAGAAUAUCGAGUAGCUUUAAGUUCAUCAUUUAGUCUUAUACAUCGGCCACAAAUUUUAGAAUUGCCCACAGAACUCGCAGUUUUGUGCACUACCACUCGUUUUAGGUCUCAGGCACCACAUCUACUCCGUUGUUGUCUCGGGCUUCAGGACUACUCAUUCUUGGUCUCAAGGUCCACCGCUCCAGAACGCAAAAAAAAAAUAAUGGGUACAGCAACAGAAUAAUACGAAUAGCAUUUAUUCUUCAACCAGUAAAAGUCGAUAGCGUUUGUUCUUCAACUAGUAAUUUUUACUACACAGCCUCACAAUCAACAACACACCAGAUAUCAACGCCAUUGCUAUCUCCUUUGCCACACAGAAAUAGGAGAUUUUUAUUUGAAGCCGGAAAGUGGUGCUUUUAAGUGGUGAGAAUUGGAGGGUAGUAAUCAGCUUUGGUACCAAGAACUUUACCCUUCGUGUCUGGGAAGUACUCAAACCCAGGCAGUUGAGUCACUUCUCCAGCAGCGGUUACCCCAAUGGGAUAAGUAAGCAGGUGGCCCGGAAGGUCAUGUCCCAGGGUCUCGCUGGAGUAAAGAUCCCAAUACUUGUCAGCCAUUUGGUUAACCUUUCGGAUGCAUUCCACAUUUUCAGGAUGGAGGAAGCGGUUAUCUAGCAUACCCAGAUGCUCAUACCACAGUGCCAUCCGAAAGCCGUGAAUUUGACCCCUGGCUGGCUGCCUGAUGGAUAGAUGAUAUGGCUGGUAGGCUCCCAUGGCAAUUUCUGAAUCCCUCGCGCCGUCCAUUGACCUCUGGUUGAUAUUAGCAGAUCCUAUGAUGAUAUAUUCAUCGUCAACUGCAAGAAAGGAGAACACAGCACACAUGUUAACAUGCAACAGCAUGCACAAAAUAAGUACUAGUUCUUGAUAAUUUCCGAUUGGCUCCACGAAAUCAGCUUUACCCGUAUACAUAACUGAUGAUCUUUAUACAGGUCAUUUUUAUGUAGUGAGCUUUUCGUGGAUGGAGGCAGGUAUUUAGAUAGGGGAUGGUGAAUUGGGAAAAUUACCAAUCAUCAUUUUAGCGUGUACAUAGAUCAUGAACCGCCUGGCUUGCUGAGCUCUACUGUAGUCUGAAUCAGGUUCUGGAUGCUCGGAAGGUUCGUAUUCCCCCCUCUUCUUAGUUUCCCUAUUACCCACGCAAAAAAAUGUCAGGUAGUCUUUUGGAUUUGCCUCAAUCCCUUUUGCAUGGAGGGCUUGAGCCACAUCUCUAUACAUCAUCUCCAUAGUCCUCCUUUGCCAAUCCAGUAUAGCUUGUACAGAUGAACUCUCUGGAUAGCCUUCUGGCCACAUCGGAACCACAAUGUAAACACUAAACCUUUCCCCUGCUUCAAUCUUACUCACAAUCUUGAGGGAUAGUUCCUUUGGGAUGAGAUGCAAAGCACCGACAACUUCACCCUUGACAUCAUCUGAAUACCACCCAAAAGAGCUUCCUAGGAAAUACUGGUUUUCGAUGUAAAUAAAAUUUUUUGCGCGACGAAUGGCAUUGAUGUAUGCAUCCUGAAUACUUCGGUCAAUGACGUUGUCCUUACCACUUACAAGUCCAGCCCUGGCUGCUUCUUCAGGAGCUUCAGGGAAACCAAAAGCUGCUCCUCCAUCGAUGGAACGGAACACCUGAACAUUCCACGUUUCAUGAUCUUCUGGGAACAUAACUGGGGAUGGAGGGAUUAUUACGCCUGCCAGUUCUCUCAAUUCCAGUAGUAAGUCCUUCUUACCUUGUUUCCUCCACCUCUGCUCAAAAUUCUGCAACACAUCCCAAGCAGCAGGACCUUCGAGCCUAGAGUGAAUGUCAUGCCAUGGCUCUCUUGGUCCACCCUUUUGAAUCGAGGAAUUCUUAAAAUUAGGCUGAUGAAAAUCAUCAUGGUGGGCUGUGCCCAAUGUCCUGAACAGGGAAUGAAAAGGAGUAUCGUAUCUCCCAUCACAAAGAUCAAUACCACCAACAAAACUCACAAUCCUUCUCCUCUCUGUAUUUCCGUUUGGCAUUUCACUAUCUACAACUACAAUCUUCUGGUGAUGAGUGAACAUUGUACCAAUUUCUAUAUUCUGAAUGAUGCUCCGUCCAUCAUCAGGAUUGCGUGGACACAAGACGCAGUGGACUUCAGUGCCCUCAAAAUAAGCCCCUGUUUCUUCAUCAUGAGUGGCCAUCAAGCCAUCCUCUUUUAGCAGUUUUACGGAAGUUCGGUCAUCCCAAACAAGCAUUAGAACCCGCACUCCUUCGUUAGCCUUUUUCUUCAGUAGUUCACCUAUUGUCAUGUCUCCACCUGGUUUUGGCCUCCUCGAGUCUCUCACUAAGGUGAUUUCAGUAUAAACAGACCAGCCUGUGAUGUAAAUCAAAUGCUUUGCUUUAGUGAUGGCAUCGAACAUAUCUUCCCAACAACGAUGGGGCUCAUAAAACUUGCCACCAGCCAGAGGAAUUUUUGGGAUGAAGUUGUCAGGAAUAUGAGCGUCUUGGUAAAGAGUGACUUUGCAUCCAUUAUGCUGACUGAAGAAGGUGUAAGGCACGCCCGGAAACCUUGCACUUUUUAUUCCUCGAGACCAAUUACGCUCACGAGUAACAUCAAAAUACUGUACUUUCACAUGAAUCUUAGAAUGACCAUGGAUAGGCUUGUGGUCAUCACCCAGAAUAGGAAGCCAUCUGUCUAUUUCUUCUUCACCCAACAGUUCUUGAACAGGCAAGUAAGCUCUUCCAAUUAGUUCCGCGCCAAUAGGAUUAUCCACUUUGACGGUGAAUAUAACAUUUGAGGCCAUAUGGGCACAGUAAAUGUGAAAUGACUCGUACCAUCGAGGAUUUGAAUCUCCUUCAAGUAGUCUUGUUCGGCCAACUCGAGCUUUCUCCAAAUCCACUGUUGCAU
rnacentral:lncRNA from 1 species